UACGUAGGGUGCAAGCGUUAAUCGGAAUCACUGGGCGUAAAGCGCACGUAGGCGGCGUUUUAAGUCGGGGUGAAAGCCUGUGGCUCAACCACAGAAUGGCCUCGAUACUGGGACGCUUGAGUAUGGUAGAGGUUGGGUGGAACUGCGAGUGUAGAGGUGAAAUUCGUAGAUAUUCGCAAGAACACCGGUGGCGAAGGCGGCCAACUGGACCAUUACUGACGCUGAGGCGCGAAAGCGUGGGGAGCAAACAGG
rnacentral:rRNA from 1 species